rnacentral:rRNA from 1 species
CCCUUAGAUGUUCUGGGCCGCACGCGCGCUACACUGAUGCAUUCAACGAGCCUAUCCCUGACCGACAGGUCCGGGUAAUCUUUGAAUCUGCAUCGUGACGGGGAUAGAUUAUUGCAAUUAUUAAUCUUCAACGAGGAAUGCCUAGUAGGCGCAAGUCAUCAGCUUGCGUCGAUUACGUCCCUGCCCUUUGUACACACCGCCCGUCGCUCCUACCGAUUGGUUGUGCUGGUGAAAUGUUCGGAUCGGCCGUUUGUCGCGGUUUCCGCGUCAUGUGGCUGAGAAGUUCAUUAAACCCUCCCACCUAGAGGAAGGAGAAGUCGUAACA